rnacentral:tRNA from 1 species
UAAGGCUUUAGCUUAAUUAAAGUGUCUGAGUUGCAUUUAGAAGAUGUGGGCUAAAGUCCUGCAAGUCUUAUC